rnacentral:rRNA from 1 species
UACAGAGGGUGCAAGCGUUGUUCGGAAUUAUUGGGCGUAAAGCGCGUGUAGGCGGCUUUGCAAGUCGGGUGUGAAAGCCCUCAGCUCAACUGAGGAAGUGCGCCCGAAACUGCAGAGCUUGAGUACCGGAGAGGAUGGCGGAAUUCCCCAAGUAGAGGUGAAAUUCGUAGAUAUGGGGAGGAACACCGGUGGCGAAGGCGGCCAUCUGGACGGAUACUGACGCUGAGGCGCGACAGCGUGGGGAGCAAACAGG